CAGCUAUAUCAAAUGUAUCCAAGUGUACCUCACUUUGGUAAACAAGUAAAAACUAAUUAUUUAACUCCCAAAAGACUACAACACAUAUAUCCCACGACAACGAGCGAAUGUUGGAGAUACCAGGCUGAAGAGUUCUCUUUGCUUCAUUUUGUCUGGAGCUGCUGGAAAUUAAAGAAAUACUGGUCAAAUAUUCAAGACAUUUUGCAGGUAUUGCUGAAAACUACCUUACCACUCCUACCCCAUUUAUACAUGCUAGAUAUGCUGCCAAACUCACUAUCGCAGGCACAGAGAUCUAUGUCUCUACAUGUCCUUACAGCAGUCAAAAAAUUGUGCGAAACAUUUGAAAUCAGU